rnacentral:rRNA from 1 species
UGGGGGAUAUUGCACAAUGGGCGAAAGCCUGAUGCAGCGACGCCGCGUGGGGGAUGAAGGCCUUCGGGUUGUAAACUUCUUUUGCUCUGAACAAGGCGCACCAUGGGGUGUGUUGAGUGUAGGGGUUGAUUAGCGCCGGCUAACUACGUGCCAGCAGCCGCGGUAAUACGUAGGGCGCGAGCGUUGUCCGGAAUUAUUGGGCGUAAAGGGCUUGUAGGUGGCUGGUUGCGUCUGUCGUGAAAGCUCAUGGCUUAACUGUGGGUUUGCGGUGGGUACGGGCUGGCUUGAGUGCAGUAGGGGAGGCUGGAAUUCCUGGUGUAGCGGUGGAAUGCGCAGAUAUCAGGAGGAAUACCGGUGGCGAAGGCGGGUCUCUGGGCUGUUACUGACACUGAGGAGCGAAAGCAUGGGGGGCGAACAGG